rnacentral:rRNA from 1 species
GACGAACGCUGGCGGCGUGCUUAACACAUGCAAGUCGAACGGAAAGGCCCUGCUUUUGCGGGGUGCUCGAGUGGCGAACGGGUGAGUAACACGUGAGUAACCUGCCCUUGACUUUGGGAUAACGUCAGGAAACUGGGGCUAAUACCGGAUAGGAGCUCCUGCUGCAUGGUGGGGGUUGGAAAGUUUCGGCGGUUGGGGAUGGACUCGCGGCUUAUCAGCUUGUUGGUGGGGUAGUGGCUUACCAAGGCUUCGACGGGUAGCCGGCCUGAGAGGGUGACCGGGCACCAGAGUACUGAGGUACGGCCCAGACUGGUACGGGAGGCAACGGUGGGGAAUAUUGCACAAUGGGCGGGAGUCUGAGGCGGCGACGCCGCGUGCGGGAUGACGGCCUUCGAGUUGUAAACCGCUUUCGCCUGAGACGACGCGUAAGUGACGGUAAUGGGUAAAGAAGCACCGGCUAACUACGUG